rnacentral:rRNA from 1 species
CCUACGGGAGGCAGCAGUGAGGAAUAUUGGUCAAUGGACGAGAGUCUGAACCAGCCAAGUAGCGUGAAGGAUGACUGCCCUAUGGGUUGUAAACUUCUUUUAUAUGGGAAUAAAAUGUUCCACGUGUGGGUUUUUGUAUUUACCAUAUGAAUAAGGAUCGGCUAACUCCGUGCCAGCCGCCGCGGUAAUACGGAGGAUCCGGGCGUUAUCCGGAUUUAUUGGGUUUAAAGGGAGCGUAGAUGGGUUGUUAAGUCAGGUGUGAAAGUUUGCGGCUCAACCGUAAAAUUGCAAUUGAUACUGGCAGGCUGGAGUACAGUUGAGGUAGGCGGAAUUCGUGGUGUAGCGGUGAAAUGCUUAGAUAUCACGAAGAACUCCGAUUGCGAAGGCAGCUUACUAAACUGCGACUGACAUUGAUGCUCGAAAGUGUGGGUAUCAAACAGGAGUAGAUACCCCGGUAGUC